AAUAUAUGAUACUAAAACGUUUGUUUUUACCGUGAAAUGUGUAUUUUUUGAUUAUUCACAAGCACUGUUCAUCUUGGUGACAAACUGCUUGCUGAAAGGGACCUGGCUAUUAAAGCUUGAUUCAGGAGUGACUGAGGAAUUGUUGGAGAGAGAAAUUCCAACUGGGAUACAAGAUGGAGAUCUAAUCCAAAGACGAACCAUUGAACUGUGCCUCACGUUGGAGCGAGACGCACACGAGACUUCCGUUUGACAUCCUUCAAUCUGGUGUUACAAUGUGAACAAUGGAUCAACUUGUGCUGACGUCCAAGAGACCAGUUUAACGCCAGUACAAUGGAUCAACUUGUGCUGACGUCCAAGAGACCAGUUUAACGCCAGUAAGGUGAAGCCAUUCAGUUUCAUCUGCAGUAAACAUUCUGUUGGGGGCCGUGGUCCUACAGAGGACGCAGAGGUAAGCCAUUUUCAUAUUUCGACUUAUUUUUUAGCGUGGCAUAUUGCCGUGCUGCUUCUGUCUGACAAUGAAUGACCGUAAAAAAAUUAAAAUUGUAUCUGACUGCCACUGUUGUUACCUUUUCUGUUGUAAAAAAAACAAUUUAAGUAAGGGAGAAGUGUAAAUGAAUAAUGGAAUUAAGGUUUGUUUUUAAUGAAAAAUUAAAAGUGUUUGUUGGCUGUCAAUGAGUAGCAUUUGCGAUCACUUCAAAAAAUAGCAAUGUAAAUUACCCCCAAGAA